UACAGAGGUCUCAAGCGUUGUUCGGAUUCAUUGGGCGUAAAGGGUGCGUAGGCGGCGCGGUAAGUCGGGUGUGAAAUCUCGAGGCUCAACUUCGAGCUGUCGGUGGAAACUGUCUGGCUAGAGUCCGGAAGAGGAGAAUGGAAUUCCUGGUGUAGCGGUGGAAUGCGCAGAUAUCAGGAGGAACACCUGCGGCGAAGGCGGGUUGCUGGGCCGACACUGACGCUGAUGCGCGAAAGCCAGGGGAGCGAACGGG
rnacentral:rRNA from 1 species